AUUCAACCGACGAGUCCCAAAUAGAACGAAAUGCGCGUCCUGGAU
rnacentral:hammerhead_ribozyme from 1 species